GGGUCAGUAGGUUGGUCGUGCCACCGGUACGUACUGGUCUCACUGAUUCCUCCUUCCUGAAGAACCGUAAUGCCAUUAAUUUGGUGUUGCGGGGAAACAGGACUGUUACUUUGAACAAAUUAGAGUGUUUAAAGCAAGCUAACGCUUGAAUACAUUAGCAUGGAGUAAUGAAAUAGGACGAUCGAUCCUAUUUUGUUGGUUUCUAGGAUUGACGUA
rnacentral:rRNA from 1 species